rnacentral:rRNA from 1 species
AACGAACGCUGGCGGCGUGCCUAACACAUGCAAGUCGAGCGCGAAUGGAGCAAUCCUAGUAGAGCGGCGCACGGGUGCGUAACACGUGGGUAAUCUGCCUGGAAGACCGGAACAACCUGCCGAAAGGCUGGCUAAUGCCGGAUAAGCCUACGGGGUCUUCGGAUCCUGAAGGAAAAGGUGGCCUCUGUAUACAAGCUAUCACUUCCAGAUGAGCCCGCGGCCCAUCAGCUAGUUGGCGGGGUAACGGCCAACCAAGGCUACGACGGGUAGCUGGUCGGAGAGGACGAUCAGCCACGCUGGAACUGAGACACGGUCCAGACUCCUACGGGAGGCAGCAGUGGGGAAUUUUGCACAAUGGGCGAAAGCAUGAGGCAGCAACGCCGCGUGUGUGAUGAAGGUCUUCGGAUCGUAAAGCACUUUCGACCGGGACGAACAACCUCUGGCUAACAUCCAGGGGCCUGACGGUACCGGGAGAAGAAGCACCGGCUAACUCUGUGCCAGCCGCCGCCGUAA